AGGUCUUCAGGUCGGGAGGUCCUCAAGAUGGAAAGACCUCAGGUCGGAAGGAUCUCAGGUCGGUAGGUCCUCAAGACGGAAAGACCUCAGGUCGGAAGGUCUUCAGGUCGGGAGGUCCUCAAGACGGAAAGUCAUCAGGACGGAAGGUCUUCAGGUCGGUAGGUCCUCAAGACGGAAA